rnacentral:lncRNA from 1 species
GACAUUGUUCACAUUAUUAUCCCGGAGUACAGGGGAGCUGGCUAAUGAUCUGGUGCCCUUGGCUGCAGGAUUUCACUUGACAGGAGGACUUAUUUAGUGGAAGAAGCAGGAAUGGGCUCUGAUGGAGCGGUUUCAGAUCACCGUGGCCAUGGGGAGCAGGUUCAUGGACAGCUGGAGUCCCCUUUAACAACCUGUACAUAGUCCAAGCAGCCUUGCUUGGCCUCCUGAUAAAGAAGCUGCUCUGCCCCACCCCUCAGGGAUAGCACAUGCCCCCCCUCCUCCCCUCUCCAGCCCUCUCAGGACACUCAGGCCUCUGGCAAGCAAAGUCAGAGACCUGGGCAACAGGCUGGGUCAGCAGUUGGGACUCUCCACUCUCCUCUUAGAGCCACAAAGUCAAGGAGAGAAAUGACCAAGAUGAGUUGGUGUUCUCAUGACUGGACUUCCCCAAGGGGUACAGGGUACAGGCUGGAGCCUUCUGUUCCCUCAGCACAGCACCCAUGAAAACAAGUCUGCUCAUGAGCCACUUUCCAACCCUUAAACCCUGUGGUUUUUAUCUGGAAAGCAGCCCAACUCAGAGAGCGAUGUGAGACCCACCACACCCAGAAGGCCUCAUCCUUGGUUAAUCCCAAAUUGAUGAUAAUCCCCAGUGGAAUGUGCAGCCCCUCCCGCCAAUUCUAGGCAUGUCUUACAAAUCCAUGAAAAUUAACAUUAAGGAGAAAUUUCCUGAGAUUCCAAUACUGAAGGCCCAUUUUCAGAGCAGACCCUUUUAGCAACCCCUGGGGCGCUGCCCUCUGCUGGCAGCUCUGCCUUCUGGCAGCUCCCUCCCUCACACCAGAUCACCACUCAGGCAGGGGGAGCCUCAGUGCAGCUCUUAAGCCCCACCUCCUACAGAGGUUAGGCCACAUUACAGACUGUGAGGGGUCUCCUGAUCUCUCUGACAGUCUCUGGUUCACGACAAUUCUUUUUGAAAUUAGAGGCUUCACCACUGAAGUAAAC